UCGAUUUGGAGGUUGUGGUCUUAUUUUGAGCUGGGGCUUUCGAAGCUAACGCGUUAAAUCGACCGCCUGGGGAGUACGACCGCAAGGUUAAAACUCAAAUGAAUUGACGGGGGCCCGCACAAGCGGUGGAGCAUGUGGUUUAAUUCGAUGCAACACGAAGAACCUUACCUACUCUUGACAUCCAAAGAACUACGUAGAGAUAUGUGGGUGCCUUCGGGAACUUUGAGACAGGUGCUGCAUGGCUGUCGUCAGCUCGUGUUGUGAAAUGUUGGGUUAAGUCCCGCAACGAGCGCAACCCUUAUCCUUUGUUGCCAGCGAGUAAAGUCGGGAACUCAAAGGAGACUGCCGGUGAUAAACCGGAGGAAGGUGAGGAUGACGUCAAGUCAUCAUGGCCCUUAUGAGUAGGGCUACAAACGUGCUACAAUGGCGUAUACAAAGAGAAGCGACCUCGCGAGAGUUAGCAAACCUUAUAAAGUACGUCUUAGUCCGGAUUGGAGUCUGCAACUCGACUCCAUGAAGUCGGAAUCGCUAGUAAUCGUGGAUCAGAAUGUCACGGUGAAUACGUUCCCGGGCC
rnacentral:rRNA from 1 species